rnacentral:tRNA from 1 species
UUUUCAUAGUUUAAACAAAACACUAGGUUGUGAUCCUAGUAAUAGAGAGUACUCUUGUGAACC